rnacentral:rRNA from 1 species
GACGAACCGUGCGAACGUUAUUCGGAAUCACUGGGCUUAAAGGGCGCGUAGGCGGGCUCGCAGGUCAGGGGUGAAAGCCCACGGCUCAACCGUGGAAGUGCCCUUUGAUACCGUGAGUCUCGAGGGAGGUAGGGGCGUGCGGAACUUCCGGUGGAGCGGUGAAAUGCGUAGAUAUCGGAAGGAACAUCGGUGGCGAAAGCGGCGCGCUGGACCUCUUCUGACGCUGAGGCGCGAAAGCCAGG